GGACCCGCACAAGCGGUGGAGCAUGUGGUUUAAUUCGAUGCAACGCGAAGAACCUUACCAGGGCUUGACAUACUAGGCAAUACCUAAGAAAUUAGGGGAUAGUUAUGCUAGUCACAGGUGGUGCAUGGUUGUCGUCAGCUCGUGUCGUGAGAUGUCACGGUUAAGUCCUGAAACGAGCGCAACCCCUGCCCUUAGUUACCAUCAUUAAGUUGGGGACUCUAAGGGUGACCGCUGGAGAAAUCCUGAGGAAGAUGGGGAUGACGUCAAAUCAUCAUGCCCUUUAUGCCCUGGGCCACACACGUGCUACAAUGGCCGUUACAAAGCGUCGCCAACCCGCGAGGGGGAGCUAAUCGCAAAAGACGGUCUCAAUUCGGAUUGGAGUCUGCAACUCGACUCCAUGAAAUCGGAAUCGCUAGUAAUCGUAGAUCAGCACUGCUA
rnacentral:rRNA from 1 species